AAGUAGGGGAUCGUAAGACCUUGCGCUUUUGGAGCGGCCGAUGCCUGAUUAGCUAGUUGGUGGGGUAAAGGCCUACCAAGGCGACGAUCAGUAGUUGGUCUGAGAGGACGACCAGCCACACUGGGACUGAGACACGGCCCAGACUCCUACGGGAGGCAGCAGUGGGGAAUUUUGGACAAUGGGCGCAAGCCUGAUCCAGCCAUGCCGCGUGAGUGAAGAAGGCCUUCGGGUUGUAAAGCUCUUUCAGCCGGGAAGAAAAGGUUGCGACUAAUAAUCGCAAUUCAUGACGGUACCGAAAGAAGAAGCACCGGCUAACUACGUGCCAGCAGCCGCGGUAAUACGUAGGGUGCGAGCGUUAAUCGGAAUUACUGGGCGUAAAGGGUGCGCAGGCGGUUUUGUAAGUCAGAUGUGAAAUCCCCGGGCUUAACCUGGGAACUGCGUUUGAAACUACAAAGCUAGAGU
rnacentral:rRNA from 1 species